AAAAGAAAAAAAAUUUAAAUGAAUUCUUUUAAAAAUAAGAAUUGUGUAGAUAAUAAACUUAAUUAAAGUAAAUUUAAAAUAAAAGGGAUAAUCUGAAAAUAAAAUAGGCCAUUAAAAUGAAAAAGGACCAGUGCGUCACGAAUGCGAAUGUUCAAGGACCAAAUUUGGAAAUAUUCCAAGUCUAAAAAUACUGCGUUGAGACGUGGGUUAAAAUGCAAGAACACGUAAAUCUUAGGGAAAAAAUUAAAAGAAAGAAAGAUGCAAACAGGGCUCAAUCGAACGUUGGUGCGAAAGGGGAAGGACCAACACGCAAAUAUCCCUUCUCCGCUGAAACACACAAGUCCUGGGGGCCAUCGAGUCGGGUCAAAACUGGUCGGCCUAGACGGCACCAUUUUGGAGCCACUAAAACAGGCCCUAAACGGUGCCGUUUUAUGUCCAUCAUUAAAACUAAAAAAAAAAAACUAAAACUAAUACACUUAACCAUUUAGGAAUCAAAAGCAGAAAACUAAACACCCCCCUUUUCCUUAUUCGGCCGAACCCUAGCCUCCUUUGGCUCAAACGCCGAUCUGCCACUAUCACCGGCUACCGAUGUAUUCGAACUUUGGAAGGAUGGCUUUUCGGCCUUGAGAUCCUUUUUCGACUUCGAUUUCAACGAAGCGAAAGGAGAAAUCUAUGGCCGAUUCACAAGGUAAGGUUCCUCUUUCACUUUUUCUUUGUUUUCUAAUGCAAUGAUGGAUGAUUUGAAGGAAAAUGAAUCCAGGAAAUGUAAAAAUUUCAAGAAAGUUUAGACAAAAACCACCUUUUUUUUUACUGCUUUUUGUAUUUCAAUCUCAAUGUUUGUGUAAAUACAAUCUGCUUUUUGUUUGGGCUUUAUAGCCGAAAAUCGAUUGAUUUCCUAUUGCUAUUGUCUAUCUCUGCUCGUUUUCUCGCCUCGUUUCUGCUUCAUUUUUGUUUUCUUUGGCUUUAUUGUCUUGUUUCGUUUCCUCUUUUGCUCUUUUUUGCAGGCGCACGAAAGUCAACGGGGCUGUAGAUGGCCGCUUUGGUGUAACUGGACAAUGGAGAGCCGAACCUUGGGCGUUGGACGUGCCGACGACGCACGUGGGAGGGGUACGACUCUAGGGGGAAACUAGCGUUAGGCUUGGCUGGAUUCGGUUUAGGCUUGGGCCUAUCGUGCCAUCCGGGUUUGGGCUUAGUUGGGUCUAAGUUGGGUAAUUUAGGCCUGCUAAUUGUUUGUAAUUUGGACAUUGAGUUUUGGGUUUUAUUAUCAUUAUUGGGUUUUCUAAAGGGCCGGGCAAAUUUGGGCCCGUACAAGAGAGAAGCUAGGUGGAAUACCUAUGGGCGAAAGAGAUAAGUAUGAUCCUGUCUUAUGGGCCAAAUAAGCUGAAAUUGCUUUAUUGAUUUUAGUUUAGUCAUUUUUUUAAGAAGAUACAGCACAAAUAGAUGAUAUUCAAUCAUAUAUUAUGGAGUUAUGUCUCGUAUUUUCGGACUAAACUGUGUGUGAUGUCGCAACGAGCAAGUGUUCUUCGUCCCGACGAACAAUGAACAUCACAACGAGAAGAGAGCCUUUGUCCCAAUGACGCGAUGCCACGUCACAACGUGACAAUGUGCACCUCAAGUUUUUUAGUUUUCGAUUAUUCUAAAGAUAUUGUAGUAUGAUUUUAUUUCUAAUCUUAAUCUAUUUAAAGGGGCCUUGUAUCUGUGUUUUAAGAGGCCAAUUAAGAAAGCAAUUAAAUAUGUAGUAUUACAGUACUUUUCUUUUUAGGGCGAUAAGAUGUAGUCGUAGAUAAGUUUUAGUGAGAAUUUUAAUGAUAACUAUUAAGAGAAUUUUGUUCCCAAAUUAGGGCCCUGUUUUCGAGGUUUGAAUUUAUGCGUUUAGUACAUUUAAGUUUAUUUUUUUCAUAUUAUACUCACGUUUGUUUACUUAUUUAGUGAAAAGUUAAAACCAUCUUUGCCCCCGAUUUUUCUCUCUUUAAAAUAUUAGUUGUGCAAAAAUAAACUUGCAUUCAAUAUACC
rnacentral:lncRNA from 1 species